AGAACGAACGCUGGCGGCAUGCCUAAUACAUACAAGUCGAACGAACACUUCGGUGUUAGUGGCGCACGGGUGCGUAACGCGUGGGAAUCUGCCCUUGGGUUCGGAAUAACAGUUGGAAACGACUGCUAAUACCGGAUGAUGACGAAAGUCCAAAGAUUUAUCGCCCAGGGAUGAGCCCGCGUAGGAUUAGCUAGUUGGUGAGGUAAAGGCUCACCAAGGCGACGAUCCUUAGCUGGUCUGAGAGGAUGAUCAGCCACACUGGGACUGAGACAGGCCCAGACUCCUACGGGAGCAGCAGUAGGGAAUAUUGGACAAAUGGGCGCAAGCCUGAAUCCAGCAAAUGCCG
rnacentral:rRNA from 1 species